UCAGCCAAAAAUGAAGAGACACGGGGCUAUUCUCUCAUAUACCAUCAAGAAAGACUGCAUUUCUCCCUUAGGCAUACUACAAAUUGAAAUCAAUGAACUCGGUUCAUGUUAUUGUCAGUAACGAAGGCUGCUGAAGACCGAGGUAACUGACGAAUGUCUCUUAUCCUGCUGCCUGUCUCUGAACCUGACAGCUCCCCAGCUGUUUUGCUGAGUGUUCACUGAUGGUCCAAACAGCCGUCUAAUUCUCCUACUUGCUUCUUUUAAUUCAGUUUAGAGGCAAGAACUUGAAGAAUGCAUCAACAAUACACACAGAGGAGGCAGUCCAUGUGAUCAUGACUUGGAAGAGAAACGUGGCUCAGCCUCUGAACGACAGAAAACUUCUGCUUCACCAUAAUUAAUUCAUAAACCUCAGAUGAGCUGGGAAACUACUCACUUGAGAUGAAUAAAAACAAACUAAAUAGAGAUUUAAAAGAAAAUCAUAAAACAUUCUUCAGGGUUCCCACUUUCUUCAAAGGUAGCAAAAACUAGCAAUUACAAUACUAGCUUUUAAAGUUCAGCUUUUUUUUUUUUUUUGAAGGCAAGGCUAGAGAAUGCCUCUCCUACUGCAUGUAUUCACCCUGAAAAAGAAAAGCACAAAAAGCCUAAGGAAAUUGAAAUCUCCAGUUGCCGCAACAGGGACUGCAAAGCUACAGCACCAAAAUUCAGUUGGCAGGUCUGAGAAAUGGUGAUACGUCCAAGAUAAUUACGUGCAAAUCCAAGGUGCACGACUGUCCUGGCUGCCUGAUGCUAGGGUGCGUUGGCUACUCAGGGUUAGCCUGGAAUACAUGAAUGAGUCCGCAACAGGGUAAGACGAGCAGGCUGUGGUGGAGUGUUUGAACAGAACGCUGGAAGUUUUAACUAUUCCAGGGAUUUGAUCUCUGCCAGAGAUUCAAAGGAUCGCAGCAGGUAAAGAAAUGGCAGACCAAAGCUUACCAGGCCCUUGCCCACCCUUCGCAAGUCUUCAAAGACUUCCAAGAGCAAUCAGCUUUGGAUCAGAAGAGCUCCAGACUGAGCCCUGAAGGCGUUUUAGAUCAAGCUCCCCUGAACGGAAUUCAGCUGACCAGCACAAACAGAGCCAACCUCAUUUAAAACACCAUAAAGAUUGAGCCGACUGAAAAAUAACUUGGACACCUUGGUCUCAUUUACACUGACCAGACGAUGCCCUGGUUAGCAGCAGUUCAGAUGACAUUUUCCCAGCUCUGUGCAAUGUGGAAGGACCUCAGCCAGACACAGGACACCGCAAACUUAUCAGCUGCCAGAAGCAAGAGCCCUAUCGCUCCGUAACACCUGUCUGCCAGGUGAGGUGUGAAAAGGCUCUGAGAGCACAUCCCCAUUAUCUAAGCUGGAGAACAGUACUUCGCAUCUUGGGAAGGGGAAAACUGGAGUUACGGAGGAAUAAAAAAGACCUGGGAAAUAUCCAACAACCUCAUCACACUUGUUGGACAGAGACCUACACUCAGAAGGACAAAGGGGAGAGUUGGGCAUCAGCUGCACCACUUUGUCUGCUGCAGUAGGGCAAUCUUGUCCAUUUUAACAGCAGAAUUGGAUCAAAAUGCUGGCAAAUGCCACAUUUGAGCUGGAAAUGCCGGUCACUUGAUGGGAGGACUUAGUGCACAGUAUGCCCUUCCACCCCUUCCAUUACUGCUUCUGUUUGAGAGAGAAUUUCCUGCACGACAGCCUCAGAGGUACAUUUGCUUACUUAUGAAGCAUUAUCUUCCUAGGGAAAAAAAAAAAAAGCUUUGUUUUAUUUCAAUGAAAGCUAAAAAAAAAUGCAGAAAAAGCCUAAAAAUAGUGUCUCUGAGGUUUUGCAAUUUUCACUACCUUCCUAAUGUAACACCAGAAGCAUUGCUCAUUUACGCAGCUACUUUUUUUUUUUUUCUUUUUCCCUGGAAAACUUUGUCAAACCCCACAUCCCACUAAAGACACUAUCUGAAGUGGGAGCAAAGAGAGAAUUUCCAACAUUUUGCAUUAAAAGGCAUCAACCAACACAAACAAUCAAGAGCUGAACACUCUUCUCUCCUUUGCAAUUCCCAUUUAAGACUGAGAUUAAUCAGAUUUAACUUCAGCUACUGGCAUAAGAUACACAUCUAGGUUCCCCUCUAGUCAAUGAGAGGAUCAGAACACCUACAAGUCAAUUCAGCCUGACCUAAAAUUGUUUCUAGUAGCUACUGACAUUUCCUUUAAGGUCCUUUUAGGCUAAAUCAUCAAACACAUCCAAACACUGUUUUUAUCAUCACUGAAAUGAAGCUGGAGGCCAAAACCCUCUGCAGCUUUAAAACCCUCACCACAAGCUCAUGCAGUCCAGCAGUUCUGCUGGUCAGCAGUUAAACCUUCAGACCAGAGGGGCAGAGCUACUAUCGCUAUUUCAGUGAGAGAUUUUUAGGCUCAGAAGAAAAGUACAUUAGAAAUGUACACCCAAGACAGCGUAUGGGCAUGAAAGGACGGGCACAGGGCAAGUAUGAAAGGUGAAGCGUGCAAGUUCCCUUCCAUUAUCAGGAGCCUAAGUGAGACGCUUCUCCAAGUGGCAGAAGGAGUCUGCCUCCGGGAUGUGGGGAGGUCACCGUCUGCUACGUGGUGUGAGUGAUAUCCAUGCAUGUCCCGGGCAGAAUAAGAGGAUAUGAUUUGGCAAUACCAGGCCAAAAAUAUCUGCGAUACAUAAAAUGAAGCAGUGUUAAAAACUGUUUGAAUAUUAACUCCUAGGUAACUAGAUAACAAUCUUUGAAGCUGAUGUCGUCGACCCUGCCUGUGCAUCAAAGCUUACCCUAAGUACUGCAAGUCAUUUAAAAACAUUCAGUUUUAAUUAAGUGGGUUAAUACGGGGUUGCUUCAGACAUGCAAGCGAGGGCCUCUCUGCAUUGCUGACAUACCAUCACGGACCUCACAUAUAUGAGAAGUAAGCCUUCUAGCUUUCAGGCUUUGGAUCAGACUCAGAUAAUCAGUUUAAAUAAGUUAAAAAUGAAUUAUGUGUAAACCUUUCUUGGAUGUUAGGACAUGUAUGAAUUGAUACAGGACAGUAUCACAUAAACCAAGUAACUCACGAAGCAAAUUUCACCUCUACAGAUUUGUAAGUUUUAUGAAUCCCGAUAAUAAAGUCAUUUCCCAGCAAAGAAAUGUUCCAGCAGCACAGCAGCAUUUUCUAAGUGUGUUAUCCAGCAGCACUAAGUUUCUCAGAAGUGUGAUUCCUGCAAGUGGAAGGAGAGAAGCAGAGACUGGAAUGCUUAAGUGCAAGCAGCUAAUCAGUAAGGAGCUGUUUUCCACCUAUCAAGUUAUUUUCUCAGGAUGCCAACCAUCAAGACACGGUGUUUUUCUAACUAGACCUAAAGGACACCCUCCAACUUUGAUAUCCCAUUUAUUCAAGUGCACCACAAACUGGGGGAAAGGAAAUCUCUCAACCUCUCUGCAGACUGUUUUAACAACAGUUACAGCAGAGAAGCCUUAAAGAAAAGAAGAAAAAAAGGAAAACCUCGUUGCAAUAAUGGAGACCUGCUGCUGUCAGUGGGUUCUGGACCAAGUCCAAAGAGGAGAGGGCCAGCGAGGUUUUAUUUGCCUCCCGCAGAGCAUCAGGAAGAGACCUGGAAAGACGCAGCAGCACCACGAGAAGGGCUCUCCUCUUCCCUCCUCCUGCGAGCGCAGCCAAUCGAGCCGAGACAGGAGGUGAGGCUCAACAGCAGUAACUCUGCCAACUUGAAGGAAACGUCAGGGUCUGGAGAAUUUCCUCACGUGUUUCCAAUGUGUUUUUUAUGCAUUUUAUUGCUCAUCUGCCAUGCAGAUCAAAAACGCUGGAGGGAUUCCAACUAUUUCACACAGAAUCUCACACUCCAGGCUGGCUGCAGCCCCAAAGCCUGAGUUUCUUCACUUGAAAUACUGCCCAGUGUUAUUUUGGGAUGUGACCUGAUAGCGGAAGCCCACAGGGACCCUGAAACGAUAACUGUUCCAGCUGCGAUUGGUUGCCCAAUCCUCACCGAUGCCAGCAUGGGUUUGUCAGUACUGCUGACAAACAAGGACUCAGCAGCUAACACCUUCUUUUCACACCACAACAAAACCAUGCCUGAAAUCACACAAUCUGGUACCCAAAGGAGGGGGCAGGGGAGUUCAUCUAUCUCUGGGAGAGGGUUGCAAGUCCUGGCAUGACCAACACGAGGGAGCCGGUUAGUUUGUGCUGGAAACAGCGAGGUUUCUUUUAUACCAACAGGGGAACCACCAUUUCGCUAUCUGAUACGAGCUCAUUUGUUAAACAAACACGAAGAUGAAACAACAAGAAAUACUUCAGAUCAAGGUAACAAAACCCCAGAGAACAGAUUCAAGGCUCUGCUCCGGCCCACCCCACUGAUCUGGAAGAGCAGGAAGACUGACCAGAAAGUAAAUUGAUCUCCUCACUGGGGACUGCGAGCUUCCUAUGCUGCUCCCCUGCCCGUCCCCAAGGUAAGUGCAUAUGAAAAGUGUGGGGGAAGAGGGAAGGAGCGCAGUCAGGGCCUACAAUCAUUACACCUAUCAGAUCACUAGAUAGCACUCAAGGAAAUUAUGAGCUGGAGACAAGCAUGUGGUAGAGGUUAUAAAUUCUGCAAGGCCAGUUGUUUCCAUAAAGAUGCUUACAAGCAAGACCACAGCACAAUGGCUAAAUUUAUUUCCCCGAUUCUUUCUGAAAGGGAAAAAGCCUCUUCAUUGCUUCUGACUAAUUGGAAUACCUACUUUUGAUUCCAAUUUCACGUUCUCUGCAGCUUACUUUCCACUCAUUCAAGAACUACCGACACCUAAAAUUACAAGCUUGUCCUCUCCCUCCCCUUUAUUUCCACCCCCAGCAUACCUCAAAAGUCCUCUCUACCACAAGAACGACACAGCUGACUGGCAGGCCAGAAUCUCCCUGCUAUUUCAGGGAAAACAGACUUGUUCCUCCUUCUAGAGUACAGACAACUGAAUCUUGCAUCUUAUGCCCCACAGAGCAACACAUCUCGUAACACCAAGUGGCCUGAAGACCUCACUGUGCUCCAUCUAGCAUAUCCUUCAGGUGCACAAUGACACCUCGUAAAGCUGACUUGAGAUUUCCCCAGAUCUGACAAGGGGUCCAGGCAGUGCCCUACAGCCCAUCACCACCUUUCUAUUUACAGCUUGCCUCUUUCAGACUGCUUCCCCAGUAAAAACUAGAAGCUGGAGUUGGGGAACACAACUUAAGCCACAGUAAAAACCCAUUUAAUACUUAUUAGGAUAGAGUAAUCUCCAUCUACAGCAUCCACAAUCUCCAAAGUUUUUUCUCACCAACAAACUGAACAGUCAGAAGGGAGUUUUUCAGUCUCCCAGCUGAUCCUGCUUACCAGAGGCACACUGGAAAGGUCCCACACUCCUGCAGGCCUCACCUACGACCAGCUCAACUUCACCUGCCAUGCUUUAAAACCCUGUCUAAACCCAUCAGCACUUACCACCAAAAAGACAUAAGUGACUGAGAAAGGGCCCUGGAUGGGGACGAACAUCGUUCAGCUCGCUCUGCUCUUCUACAGUCGUUAAUGUGUAGAGAAUAAAGGGUCAAGCUCUACGGGAUUCUUCCAACACGUUUUGGCUGGACAAGAGACGAAGGGGAGGAGGAGAAGGAAGGAUGCACGCACAGUGCGUUUCCAGCACAACCUCUCUCCACACCCAGAGCAUCACCGGAACUCACAGCAAGGUCACAAUCAGGGCCACUGUUGCCAAGUGUUCCGUUCGGUACGUGACAGGUCUGGGGGAGGAGCAGGUGGCAGGAACCAACAGCAUGUAUUUUUGAAUUGUCAGUUUACCUGUUACUGAUUCUGAGUUCAUACCUGUGUGGGAACUAUACUCAUCCACAUUUCCAAGCUACCAAAGACUAAUCAAAUAAAAUCAAAAUCUAGCAACACAAGCGACACACUUCUUUACCAUACACAGCUUUCCUCCUCUGCCACGUACCUCUCAGUUUUUACUCUCUGAGGAGCUGAAGAGUUUGUUUUUAGUUUUCAAGGGAAAGAUGACUUUCUCCUGGGUUAAGAAACAGGGAAUGCCCAGGAAGAUGCCUGCUGCAGUAGCAUGAGCUGCACAGCGCGCUUCUGUGCUUUACGAGAGCUUUUUAAGUUUAAGGCCUUGCCUCUUCUAUCCCUCUUCAAAUAGGGCAAGGCCAGCAAUGAGAAGGAACAAAGAGUUUCAAUUAUACAAUGAAAUGACUGGGUUUGGCCCCUCAAAUUUGUUCUUAGAAGUUCAAACCCUGAUCUGAGCAGUAAUAGGGUUCUCAGGUUCUGCUUCAUGCUCAUGGAAAAAAGCGAAGAUCCCAGUUACAAAACUAAGCAUGCAUAAAAACGUUCAGGUUCUAUUAUGUGCCACUUACUCAUCCCAGGAGUCCUUAAACAAAGGACAAGUGCUAGGCUUUUACUACUUCAGGAAAAAAACACCAGCCCAGUAAAACAAGUAUGAGGAACGUAACACUAUCAAGGCUUCAGCCUCUGCUAGAUGGAGUCCAUAUUCCCUGCCUUUAUGAGGAGUUUAAGCUCCUCUCAGGCAUCAGUGCUGACAAUUACAAACCUAAGAUGGGGACUAGAACAUGCAAGAGAGAUUUGUGCAGUUUCAGCUCAAAAAAGAAGCUGAAAAGCUCAUUCUUCCAGGCUGGCUUUAGACAAACUGGUAGAAGCUGCUGGCUCUAGCUGCACUGCAGGAAAAAGAGCGUUUGGAAAGGAGGCUGUCAGGAGGAGGGGCUCAGCGUCACACAAGAAAUUUUACUCUGAUUGCAAAAAUAAGCUGCUGUUCUAAUCCACCUGAGUAAAUCUAGGGUGCUAGGGAUGCAGGGGAGCGAGAGCUACAAGUUGACCACAUCAAUCAGAAAGGCUGGUCCAGCACCAGGCCCUGGGAAGGAAAGUGCAAGUGAGAAGCUAGUAUGGGUCUCAGGUGACAGACCACAACCUGUUUAUUUAAAGAGCCUUUGUUUUUCUUCCAGAGUUUUUUUUUGUGUUGUUCUGCUUCGGUCUGAAGACAAAGCCCAGAUCAUACAAGAAGCUCAAUCCCGUAAGAGGCAGGAAGCUACCCUCUUGUUGCCAGCCGUAAGGAUAUUCCAACUCCCCAGCAGUGCUUCCUCUGGAAGGCACUUUCCAAUCUCUGAUGUGUUCAAUUUAGACUCCAAAGCAUUUAGUCAUCUCAGCAUGUGAUUAUGCCACCAUGCCAACCACAGGAGCUUGGGUGGGCAAAGAAAUGCAGCAAAGGCAGGAGUUUGAAAUAAUUAAAAAAUUUAAAAGGCCCCUGUUAAGACCAGUACUUCAGAUUUCAAAACAACUCCGCUUUUAGUGUUAUCAUCAGCCUCUGUGAAACAAUUAAGAGUGACAGAAUCCAUUUCUAAAAAAGCGUAAAGAAGAAAGAUUUUAGGAGGGAACGAGAUUUGUUAAGGCACUGGAUAUUUGCAAGCCUGAUGAAUCUGGCAGUGCCCUCGCUGGAACAAGCUGGGAAGAGACAGCCGAAAGCUGGCAGCUCCCUCCGAACGGUGCUGCACCUGCAGGGAGACAGCGAUGGGGCGACACGAGGGCUAUGGAUAAGCCCCCCCGACACCACCAGCUGGGGUGGUUCUAGGGAAAACACUUUUGUCCGAGAGCCUGUCUGAAAUACUGCACCCAGGUACCACUGACCUGGAUGGGACAGAGAAACUGAAGAGACGUUUAAAAGGACUGAAGGCAAUUCUGCUCUUGCCCUGGCUCAGAGCAGCGAGCGUGCAGGGGAAGAGGUAAGCACAGCCAUGGCAACCUGGCUCAUGCCACGCACUGACGCACACCCACUGCCACCCUCAGGGUCAGGGGUUGCCAGAGCAGUCAAUGCCCAGAGAUGCCACUUCGUUUCACUUCAGGAAUUUUUUUUUUUUUUUUUUUUUUUAAUAAACGUUUCUGUUUUCCUCAGCGAGGCUUGAUUCAAACUACAAUAAAACACAUUUACGCAACUCCUCCUCCAAUUACCACACAGGCCUCGUUUGAAAUCUCAGCGCGAACCUUGCACCCCCAGGGACACGGGCACAAGCCCGUCCCAGCUGCGUUGCCACCGCCAGAGCCCUGGGCCCACGCCAUGCCUUGCAUUCGAGAGCCACAUGGAAAGCUUUCUCCACUGCGUUUGUGACUGUGCACAUCUCUGAGACAAGUCAAUCCAGAAGGCCGAAAUGACAUUACUAGGAAAAUGAUCCCAGUGAACUGAAAGCACAGGUAUGGCAGCAUUUAAAAUGAGCGCAGUGCUGUCAGGCGAAGUUAAACGCCUUCACUUAUCCCUGUAACCGCCCCACGCAGCACACGAAGGUCAGGUCAGCACCAUCCCUCCCUCCCCUGCACCGUUUGGGAUCUCCAGCAGGGUUAGGUUGCUUCCAACGUCAGGCUGACUGAGGCUUCCGCACAUUUUCAAGGGUCUCUGAUAACACCAGCUCAGCAGCAAAAAGGAAGUGAAAGGCUGAUUUCCCUACCCUACAACAGUGAGCUGCUUGAAAGCGUGCUUAGAAGCAGAGGGUCAUCUCACGAGGCGUGUGCUUCAGCACUUACGGUGCAAGAACGCUCUGUAUUUCCAGGGGAUGCGUGUGACUGAGAGCACAGACUAUUGUUUGGGAUCCAACAUCAGAACUGGUCAUCCUACAGCAAUUUCCUGAUUAAACGCUGACCCGCCUAGUCCCUCCAGCUGGGCCUAAACCCGGCCUCGGGAACGUACAGGGCCCGGCUCCUGAGCAAGCUGCGGCCGCCGUCCAGGCCCUCCCCGCCGAGAUGGCCGCUCCGUGCUUCCGUUAGGCCUGUAACCGAAAUCGCUCCUGAGAAAACGAAAGGUUCCAGUUAGGGGAAUCUGUGUAAGGCGUACAGGCAGGAAGCAGAGCUGAGCCGCUAACGACUAGAAUAGAAACAGGAAACGAGCCCGGCAUCGAGCAUAGCGCAAUCUGCUGCCAGCGCAGGCUCCUGUGAAGCCGAGCUGCAGCAGCGGCCCAGCGCAGUGUGAUUUCUGAAGGGACGCUUCUUGGCUUCGCCAGGGGGAGACGGCGAAGGCAGAGGGUUUGGUGUGGCCCAGAGAGGCCCGACAGAUGCACCACGGGGUGGGGAGCUUCCUCCUGAGCACCAGGUCAGAUCAGCUCGGUUCCAGCCCGGAGGAAGGGGUGGGAGGAGAGAAAUUGCCACAUGGACAAAUAGCAGAGCGGCCCUGAGAAGCAGGUCAGACGCACGAAGCAUGUCACUGGAGUGGCUGGAAGAUUAGGGUAGCUCUGCAAGCAGCACUCUACACUCUGCAUCUGUAAAGGCUAGUAGCAAAAUUAAAAUUAAUUAUAAAACAAGCAUGGCCUUCUUAAGAAACCACACAAAACUGAUUGCCAAGAUCGCACACACCAAGAAAAGCUUAGACAAAGAAGCCCUGGUCAGGAUAAAAAAUGUUUUAAAUUCCCCGUAUACCAUAACUGGGGAUAGAAACCUUCCCAUCAGCAUAAACUGGAAGGCACCAAUCUCUCCAGUACCAGUGUUUCAGGUACUGCACUCCUUGGGGCAAGCCUCCAGGUGCUGAUGUGUUCAUCCGCACACCCACUGCGAUGCCCAGUCACCAGAGCUUGCAACUCCCCUGCUUCGAAAUGCAUACACCACUAAUCCCUCUCUCAAGGCAAGUAAUAAGACAAGCUCAGAAGGCCAAAUACAAACCAAACAUAAGCAGGAAGUCCCGUAUGGGGGGGAGGGAGCGACUGAAGUGACCAAGAGAUUCAACUAUAAAAGUUUCUUUUCCCUUCCCCCAAAAACAAAUUGCCAAACUGAAAAAUAUUAAGCUCAAAGAAUUUUUAAGAAAACAUUCAUUUCCUGGGCUGCGCCUCCGUCCUCAUCCACAGCAGCUUUAAGAGAGUUUUUCACUGUAUGUCAGGCUGUUGCAUUGGUUAUUUCCAGGUCAGGGGAUGCAGCUGACAGAGCUCAACUUUAUUCCACUUCAAGUACCUGCAGAGUGCAAGCUGAAACGACCACCUUGUAAAACUGGCAAAUCCAAACAGUGCUUUCCUGACACCCUGCAGCAUGUCCAGAUUCAGAAACUACUUGGCUUAUGAGGAAGAAGUAAUCAAACAAAAAAUACCCCACGACACUGGGGAUGUUCACAAGAGUCACUUCUCUACCAGCAAGAACUCAGCAGCUUCGUUUCUCUCCCUUCCCAUAGUCUAAUUUUGCUAAGUCCAUAAUGCAAAAAGUCCAAGACCAGAACACACGUUCAAAAGUUAAACAGACCAGGAAUUUGUUUGCAGUUGGUUAUACUCCUUCCUGCCAUUGAUAAGACGCUUUUCAGACCUGAAGUUGGUGAUGAACCAAACUGAAAUGCAGCUAAAUGAGAAACAGUUUGCCAGCAGUGCAAAAUAUUGAGAUUAAAAUGAUUUCCCACUCCACAUUGAGAUGAAAAUCAGUUGCCCAGAAAAGGAAUGGGGUUCCUCCCUCAAGCUACACAGUAAACUGACCAAAGCCGACUAAAGACAUUCUGUGACUGGAAUUCUGAAACUUCUGUACAAGCUGCCCCAGUUUGCUUCAUUAUGCAUUUACUGCAACAAAAAUUCAAAUGCAACCUUGCUAUUUCAGCACCUCCAAAACCCUGCCAGUAUCUGCCCUCCUGGUUCAGCCAGAAGUCCUGCCCCAAGCAGAACCCUUCCCAUCAAAGCACUGCUGAUACCAGUGUGCCUCACACAAGUUUUGGUUUCUACAGAUAGAAAAACUUCACUAAAGAAAUCGCAGAAAGUCCAAUGAAAAGCACAUACAGCCAGUAUAUACUGGUAGCAAAUCAGUUUUGCUCUAUACAUGGCUUUUAGGGCCAAUCUGUUAAAGGUCCUAACACCACAGUUAUCAACUUCUGUGGUUAGGAAGGUGCUAACAGCAUGGCAAGCACUGUCUCUGUGCUCUACUCCGCAUCCACUUCAAAGACACCAGGAACCUGUAGUUGACUCCUUCAAGGCAGAGACCAAGGCAACGUAACACUCUGCUCCACGUUGCACAAGGAGAUACGAAAUUCCUUCCAACAAUCCCAAAACUCCAGAGAUUUCUGCAGCAGAACUGACUUCAAUCCAAACCCAAGUGGACGCCCUAGCACCUUGUUUGCUUCCCCUGUACCUGUUACCAGAGCAUCUUCAAAGCCUAAGCAGAAGGUAAUUAAUAGUUAGAAAUAUUUGACUUCUACAGAUUCUGUAUCCAAGCCUCCAAAGGUAGAAACACUGAAUAAACUGGAUAUAACUUGCCAAGAAGAAUUCUUUGCUGAAGAGAUGAGACUAGGGAAUCUCCUGGGAGAGUAAGAUUUAUGCUAUGGAUUACUAUUCCUCUAUUACACCCAGACACAAAAGACUACACUUCACUUCUCCCAUACACAAUUGGAAUCUAAGUUUAGUUUAGCUGCAAUCCUGACAAGAGAUUCCCUAGGGAAGCAGCAAAUUCUUCAGAGAAAUUCUUCAUCCAGCCUACUACAGGAAAAGAGUACCAGCCAGGACACUCGUGUGGAUGCAUUACUCUUUAAAAGACAUCAGCACAUUCACACGGGCAGCAGCAUUCUCCCCCAGUGCAGCAGGCACAAUCUUCAGAAAGGGAACAACAAACCAAGGAAUACUUUAGCUAGAACAGCCUAGUAACACCAGCAGAAAUAGAAGACCAGACAUUUUGCUACUUACAGAUGUUCAGACAAAGCACUAGAGCAAUCAGUAAUUUGACUCUUCUGCUGUUAAAAGUCUUAAUACAGGAACACAGUCAGAAAAAAGUUUAGUUAGGGACACAAAAAUCACUGCCAGGAGGAUACCCUGAAGACCUCCACCCAGAAUGAUCAACGUUGCAUUUCUCAGGCAGAUCCUAACAAACCAGCAAGAUCUGACAGGAGUUGAACAACUUGACCACGUUGCCAAACCAACACUUAACAUCUCUAGGAGACCACCACUUCCUGAAACGGUGACAGUGUCAGCCAAAGAUAUAUUCCCACUUUUACUGCUUGAAGUUCCGGCAUUAAUACGAUGCACAGUAUUAAAUGUGUAAAGGCUAAAGUCUCGUAAAGGCACUGGGUACAUAAAUUUAACACUUCGUAAAUAAUUACCUAAAAGCAACAACCUCCUUUUCCUCCUGGAGCUGAUCUAUGUUUAAUUAAAGAUGAUGCAUCGUACGAUUUGCCCAGAUUCCAGGAUACCCAGUGAGCUAUUCCACAGUGCCCACGGAGGCUUAGAAGAGGACUCAGAACUCCA